rnacentral:rRNA from 1 species
GACGAACGCUGGCGGCGUGCUUAACACAUGCAAGUCGAACGGAAAGGCCCUGCUUUUGUGGGGUGCUCGAGUGGCGAACGGGUGAGUAACACGUGAGUAACCUGCCCUUGACUUUGGGAUAACUUCAGGAAACUGGGGCUAAUACCGGAUAGGAGCUCCUGCUGCAUGGUGGGGGUUGGAAAGUUUCGGCGGUUGGGGAUGGACUCGCGGCUUAUCAGCUUGUUGGUGGGGUAGUGGCUUACCAAGGCUGUGACGGGUAGCCGGCCUGAGAGGGUGACCGGGCACAUUGGGACUGAGAUACGGACCAGACUGGUACGGGAGGCAGCAGGGGGGAAUAUUGCACAAUGGGCGGAAGCCUGAUGCAGCAACGCCGCGUGCGGGAUGACGGCCUUCGGGUUGUAAACCGCUUUGGCCUGUGACGAAGCGUGAGUGACGGUAAUGGGUAAAGAAGCACCGGCUAACUACGUG